rnacentral:rRNA from 1 species
GAUGAACGCUGGCGGCGUGCCUAAUACAUGCAAGUCGAGCGAACGGACGAGAAGCUUGCUUCUCUGUUGUUAGCCGAACACGGGUGUGUAACGUGUGUAUAAUCUACCUAUAAGACUGGUAUAACUUCGGGAAACCGGCGCUUAUACCGUAUAAUCUUUUGCACCGCGUGGUUCAAAAGUGAGAGACGGUGUUGCUGUCACUUAUAGAUGCAUACGCGCUGCAUUAGCUGGUUGGUAAGGUAACAGCUUACCAAGGCAAGGAUGCAUAACCGACGUGUGAGGGUGAUCGGCCACAUUGGAACGUGGACAGGGACCAGGCUACUACGGGAGGCAGCAGAAGGGUAUCUUCCGCAAUAGGCGAGAGCCUUACGGAGCAACGCCGCGUGAGAGAUGAAGGUGUCCGGAGCGUAAUACUGGGUUAUGAGGUAAGAACAGAUGUGUAAGUAGAUGAGCACAGCUUGACGGUACCUAGUCAGAAAGCCACGGCUAACUACGUG